rnacentral:rRNA from 1 species
GACGAACGCUGGCGGCGUGCUUAACACAUGCAAGUCGAACGGAAAGGCCCUGCUUUUGUGGGGUGCUCGAGUGGCGAACGGGUGAGUAACACGUGAGUAACCUGCCCUUGACUUUGGGAUAACUUCAGGAAACUGGGGCUAAUACCGGAUAGGAGCUCCUGCUGCAUGGUGGGGGUUGGAAAGUUUCGGCGGUUGGGGAUGGACUCGCGGCUUAUCAGCUUGUUGGUGGGGUAGUGGCUUACCAAGGCUUUGACGGGUAGCCGGCCUGAGAGGGUGACCGGCCACAUUGGGGAUGGGAUAAGGGCCCGAAUCCUACGGGGGGCAGGCGGGGGGAAUAAUGCAAAAUGGGCGGAAGCCUGAUGCAGCAAAGCCGCGUGCGGGAAGACGGCCUUCGGGUUGUAAACCGCUUUCGCCUGUGACGAAGCGUGAGUGACGGUAAUGGGUAAAGAAGCAACGGCUAACUACGUG